AGAAGGAUUAGUAUACUUCGUAUUACCUGUUCUUGUCAAGAGCAAAAAAUAGGACACUAAAUCCUAUACCCUUCUA